rnacentral:tRNA from 1 species
GCGCGUGUAGCUCAGUCGGAUAGAGCGACCGCCUCCUAAGCGGUAGGCCCCUGGUUCGAAUCCAGGCACGCGCGCCA